rnacentral:rRNA from 1 species
GAAAUAUCUUAUGAUGAAACAGAGAAGAAGCUACUGGAUUCAAAUGCAUCACCCAUGUCUUUUCCAAUUGAAUUUUUGAAGUCCAUCACAUGUGAUUUUUCUACUGACUUAGUACUAGGAGAAGGUGGGUUUGGAGCGGUUUACAAGGGAGUUCUUCGGAGCGGGAAAAUUAUUGCUGUGAAGAGGCUUUUUGAAACCCGUGUAAAAGAGGACAAAUUCCACAGUGAAGUUAGUUGCCUUAUGAGAAUUAAGCACCCAAAUUUAGUUCAAUUUCUAGGUUAUUGUGCAGAAUCAAGUUGGGAGGCGAUAGAGCCUCCAAGUGGUACUGGACAUCAUAUUUUUGUUGAAACACCGAAAAGAUUGCUCUGCUUCGAGUAUGUACCAAACAAAGGCCUGGACAGACAUAUUUCUGAUGAAUCUUCGGGCCUUGAGUGGAAUAUGAGAUACAAGAUAAUCAAGGGGAUUUGCAACGGGUUGCAUUUUCUUCAUGAUGAAUGUUAUAUAGUUCAUCUGGACCUUAAGCCCGAAAAUAUAUUGAUGGACUCUACUAUGAUGCCCAAAAUAGCGGAUUUUGGUUUGUCGAAGAUCGUUGGCGAGCAGCAAUCACGAAUUAUCACUAAUAAUAAAGAGGGAACACUUGGAUAUAUGGCACCAGAGUACUUAAUCCGAGGUAUAGUAUCGAGCAAGGCAGAUAUCUUCAGUCUAGGUGUUGUAAUCAUACAGAUAAUUACAGGUCAUAGGGACUAUCCAUGGGACUAUUCAUAUCUCCAGCAAGAUAGUACCAACCGUACCGAUCCAUCUUUCCAGCAGUUCACGGAGAAAGUACGUUGA